GGAAUAUUGCGCAAUGGGCGAAAGCCUGACGCAGCGACGCCGCGUGAGGGAUGAAGGUUUUCGGAUCGUAAACCUCUGUCAGAAGGGAAGAAACUACAUUGUGCUAAUCAGCAGUGUACUGACGGUACCUUCAAAGGAAGCACCGGCUAACUCCGUGCCAGCAGCCGCGGUAAUACGGAGGGUGCAAGCGUUAAUCGGAAUUACUGGGCGUAAAGCGCACGUAGGCUGUAGUGUAAGUCAGGGGUGAAAUCCCACGGCUCAACCGUGGAACUGCCUUUGAUACUGCACAACUUGAAUCCGGGAGAGGGUGGCGGAAUUCCAGGUGUAGGAGUGAAAUCCGUAGAUAUCUGGAGGAACAUCAGUGGCGAAGGCGGCCACCUGGACCGGUAUUGACGCUGAGGUGCGAAAGCGUGGGGAGCA
rnacentral:rRNA from 1 species